rnacentral:rRNA from 1 species
UAUCUCUGUAGAGUCUGCAUAUCAAUAAGCGGAGGAAAAGAAACUAACUAGGAUUCCCUCAGUAACGGCGAGUGAAGCGGGAAGAGCUCAAAUUUGAAAUCUUCAAGGUUUUACCUUGACGAAUUGUAGUUUAAAGAAGUGUUUUCUGUUGGAGUUUUGGUAAAAGUUCUUUGGAAUAGGACAUCAUAGAGGGUGAGAAUCCCGUAUUUGACCAUUAUUUCCAGCUUUGUGAUACACUUUCAAAGAGUCGGAUUGUUUGGGAAUGCAGUCCAAAAUGGGUGGUAAAUUUCAUCUAAAGCUAAAUAUUGGCGAGAGACCGAUAGCGAACAAGUACCGUGAGGGAAAGAUGAAAAGAACUUUGAAAAGAGAGUUAAACAGUACGUGAAAUUGUCAAAAGGGAAGCGUUUGACACCAGUGUUGUUUCUACGAAAAUCAAUUUAUGAUGGCUUGAUGCUAAGCUUUAAGACUUUAUCCGCUUGUUGUUUAGUUUUCUUGUCUUUGCUGAAUGCACUUUUCGUUGAACAAGUCAACAUCAAUUUCUUUUGUUGUAAAAGGAGUCAUUGAGGAAGGUGGCUUCGGCUUUCGGUAGAAGUGUUUAUAGCCUUUUAUCUUCUGCAGUCGGAGAGAUUGAGGUCUGCAGCGUAGACUCCUUCGGGGUUAGAUACAGUUGGUGCUAAGUUAUAGCCUUUCAUAGACAACUUGUUGACUAUGAUUCAGUCAUGUAGGCUUACUCGCUGAUGCUAUUUUACCUACGCUUAGGAUGUUGAGUCAUCACACAUCUCU